rnacentral:rRNA from 1 species
AUUGAACGCUGGCGGCAUGCCUUACACAUGCAAGUCGAACGGCAGCACGGGAGCAAUCCUGGUGGCGAGUGGCGAACGGGUGAGUAAUACAUCGGAACGUGCCCAGUUGUGGGGGAUAGCCCGGCGAAAGCCGGAUUAACACCGCAUACGACCUACGGGUGAAAGCGGGGGAUCGCAAGACCUCGCGCUAUUGGAGCGGCCGAUGUCAGAUUAGCUAGUUGGNGGGGUAAAGGCCUACCAAGGCGACGAUCUGUAGCUGGUCUGAGAGGACGACCAGCCACACUGGGACUGAGACACGGCCCAGACUCCUACGGGAGGCAGCAGUGGGGAAUAUUGCGCAAUGGGGGAAACCCUGACGCAGCGACGCCGCGUGUGGGAUGAAGGUCUUCGGAUUGUAAACCACUGUCGGGAGGGACGAAGCUCUGACGGUACCUCCAAAGGAGCACCGGCUAACUCUGUGCCAGCCGCCGCGGUAAC